GAACUGAGAACAGCUGAUGUUGAACUGGUUGCUAAGAAGGUGUCAUGUAGCAUAUUGGCUUAUAUAAACUCUUUGUGGUGAUUACAAAAUAGCUUCUUAUCUCUGUGGAUGUGCAACUCCUGAAACAUAAAGCUUGAGGACACAUGUACUAACUUAAUGUUUGUUGAAGACUUCUUGUCAAUUUUAUUAAGCUAUACUCAACCAAAAGAUGUACCCAGGUCCUAGGUCACUGACUGUUCAUGAUACAGAAGAAUAGCUGCAGUGCUGCUUCAGCUCUUCUGGCUAGGUAACUAUGGUGAAGGUGUCUGUCCCCAUUAAGGAACAGGAUUUACACACAGAUUAAAAUUUACUUAAAAUCAGUACCUCAUGUCCCUCCACCAGGUAUGGAGCUACCACUCUUCUAUACAAAGGCAGACAUCACUACACAGGAGAGCUGCACAGAGAGUGUGUCUGGGAGUAAGCACCCUCCUCAUGGACCUCAGGAACCAGCAUACAGAUACUGCUGCAACACAAAUGUCUGUGCAGAGCAUCUCCAAGGACAGCUAUGAGCAGGUAACCAAUCUUUGCUAUGGUGUUUUAUUUUAAGAUGGUGCGAUGUUGUCCUUUUAUCACACAAGGUGCCUGUAAACAGUGAGAUUACAGUUUUUAUAGUUGUGGUUAACAGGCCAUCCUGUGCUGCUGAGAAAUGCUGGUUAAAACUCAAUUUGAUGGAGUAGGUUUUAACAUAGGCUCCUCUUAGUUAUACUGAAUUGUGUGCAGCAAUCUUUUGAUAUUUCAGAUUAAUUGAGGUUUAAGAAGAGGUUGUUGUUAACUGAUGAAUAAUUGCUUUUCCAGACCACACAGUUAGAACUUUAAUUUAUUGGGGGUGAUAAAAUCAUGUACCAUUUGAGGUGUCUACUUUCUACUCAGGGUGUCGGUGUCACCAAAUCUCUUCUUCCAUAUUCCUUUGUUGUAACUUUUUUUCAGGAUAUGUCUUUACCUGAAAGAAACACUACUGAAGAUACUCCUAAAAAUACGUUAUUCUUGGGUUUCGGUCUCAUUUUUAUUUGUGAAUUCUUAAUUUAAAAACAAAACAAACAACAACAAAAACAAAGCCUGAAACUACUAGUGGUAUUAAACUAUUUUCAAAUGAGAGUACUAGAAGAGAGGGUGACAAACAAACUCUAAAGGAGUGUGGCUGAAUUGAUAUGCUAUAGACUUACAUGUUGUACCGAGUUUUGAAGAUGGUGAUGGCUUUCCUUGCAAUCAGUUUUUAUACCUUUUUUCGUGCAUUCAGUAAACAUGAGUAUAGACAGUGGGACACUUUCAACAGACUUUAAUAUCAUUAGAUCUAAAUAGUAAGGAGCAGGGUAAAAAAGUGGAAAAAUAUGUUGUGAAUGAGGGAUAUAAAAGACUUCCUUGGCUCCCACCAUGGUAAGAACUGCUGUGGUGGAUCAGACCUGAAGAUCCACAUAGACUCAUAAGUAGCAGCUGUUCUGCUUCAGGCUGACUGGACAAAGAGAGAGGGAUCAGUCUGCUGGUAUGUUUUCCCAACUUAUACACAUCAAUGAUAUAAGGACCAAUGAUUCUCUAGUAUAUGUUAAUG
rnacentral:lncRNA from 1 species